rnacentral:lncRNA from 1 species
AUCAGGGAAAGGCAAUAACCAUGGUGCUCAGUCUGGUCCAUUACUUCUGAAACAAACCUCUGUCAUCAGUGUGGUUCCUAUUAGCUGGAGAGCUGCCUGGAAAGGCUGUGAUGUUUCACCUUCCUCUUCAGAGCAAGACCUACAGUUGCCCUGUUGCCAUGGCAGUCACUAAAGGGAUAAGAAGGUAACUCGCACAGGGAGGAUGAUACCCCUGCCAGCUCCAGUGCCUGGAGAGGAUGAAGAGGAGGCUGUCUAAAGAUAAUCUCUUUCAUCCGUUCUCAAUUUAAAAGGCAGUCUUCUGUCUUCUUGGAACACCUGAGACAAGAGAAUGAUGAAUGGCAGCCUGGAGAUCAGCCUGGAGCCACACCUUGCCCUUUGAGUAGCCUCUCCCAUGACAAUCAACACUUUUCUAGAGCCUGGUAAGGUGUGAGAGUUUAGAAUGUCCAUAGGUUAGCUAUGGUAGAGACCUGGAAGACAGGCG